GCUGGGACAGAUCAGUCUGUAGAUCAUGAGGCUCUUAACCUCGGGGUCAUGGGUUCAAGCCCCACAUUGGGCA